rnacentral:lncRNA from 1 species
GCCAAAAUAGGCGCUUAUUUAUACAGGCGAUUAUACUCGAUGAGUUUUUACAGCCAGAAUAUUGAUUUAUACUGAUGAGAAGAAUUGAAAACUGUCACACUCGAUCAGUAUAAAUUGAAUCAUUAGAUAUUCAAAUAAGUUUAACUAUGAAGUAAUUGUUCUUUCCUGCUAUAUACUUGAAAGUGAAAUACAUCAGGGGCCCCAGUCUUGACUGUUAUCAACCUUGUAACAUUCUUUUUAUAUCAUGAAUGUCCCAGUAGAAAAACAAAAAAAUCAACU